ACCCGAAAUUGUUAUGAAUGUUAACUGGCGUAGAGUUGCAGAAGGUUGCUCAGAAGCCCCUUUGCCAUGCAGGCUCUAUGACACUCGUAAGCGUGUGCGCACGGAGGACCAAAAGCGAGAGGCCUCACAGACACUAGCAGUCAGGUUACAAGAAGCAGGUUGCAGUACUAGUCUUGUGGAUGUUCUCGGUUCAGCCUCAAGUUGUUCAUUAUACUGCACUGGUUUCCCUUGGGAGACUUCAUGCUGUACAAUCUGGUCCCAUACCAAUCUUCACCUUAUUUAAGGAUGAACCACAGUGGACGCCUCCUCAAGAUGUGGCUCACGUCUCGACUCUGAAGAACAUAUGUUUGUCAGAAGAAGAGGCAAGGGAUAUGGAAAGGGACACCAGGCAGCAGUUCAACAGCUCUCUAUGGCAAAAAGCACGGCUAAAUAGGCUGACAGCAUCAAGAUUCGACAUGGUGCUGAGACGUAAGCAACCGUGGACAAAUGUUGGACUUCGAAAUGUUGUUCGGCCUAAGUCGUUUACGUCAUUAGCGGUGAGGUAUGGAAUUUCAAGCGAGGGGAAAGCAGUUGCCAGGUACACCGAAGUGAUGGAACGUCUUGGCCAUAAUGUCAUGGUUCAGAACUGUGGACUAAUGGUCAGGCCAGGCAGUCCCUGGCUGGCAGCCACACCUGAUCGUGUUAUUUAUGACCAUCAUGAGCAGCCUUCAUAUGGACUGUUGGAGGUGAAAUGCCCCUGGACGAAGAGAUCCACGACUCUGGAGGAUGCCCUCGAAGAUUCCCAGUUCUGUAUAGAAAUUGUGGACGGUAAACCCAGACUGAAGGAGACCAGUGUGUACUACCCCCAGGUCAUGGGGCAAAUGUAUUGUGCAAACAUGAGGUGGAGUCAC